rnacentral:sRNA from 1 species
GCAGAGCCAUGGCCCUCUUCUUUGUUCUCUGCUGGAUCCAAGAGUCGGGGUCUCCCUAUGUUUCCCAGGCUGGCCUCGAACUCCUGACCUCAAGUGAUCCUCCCACCUCAGCCUCCCAGAGUGCUGGGAUUAAAGACGUGAGCCACGGCACCUGGCCUGAAUUUUCCUCAAAUUCAAAAAAUGCUGAUGAAGGUUUGGCUAAAAUCUUUGGCUCUUCCCAACAAAAGAGCUUGAACAAUGCUGCAUUUGCCUCAGGUUCAAAUGAGCGAGAGGAACAUUUGGCUAAAAUAUUUGAUGAAAUUCUACUGCAGGUGUUUCCAAAGUUUCCGUAUGACCCAUCAUUUAACGAAGCAACAGCAGUCAGAUCCAUUACAAAGACAGACAUGAGAAAAGGAACCAGCGUUGCUUGGAAUUCUCCUAAACCAGAAUAUUUCCUUGGCAGUGUGGACAAAAUUCCUGAUAAAGAUCACCUUUCAGAGGAGAAGAAUUUUAAAGAAUCCUGUCUGUUCCACAGGGAUUUAAGAGAGCAGUUAACUACUGUAGAUAAAGAAACACUUCAAGGAGCAGCUAAACCAGAUCUCCUCUGGCAAACACGACAUAUAAUAUUUUUAUGAUGGAUGGAAAGACAUGGUGGCACAAUUCUGAAGAAAAAAAUUUCACAAAACAUGCAAAGAAACAGAAACAGUUGAAGAGCAGCUCCUGUGUCUAAGCCAGGUCCUGGGG